GCGGUUAUACAAAUUAUAUAAUUUAUUAUUAAUUAAUUGUAUUAAAUUUUGUAUUAAAAAUUUAAAAAAUAAAUUUAUAAGGUGGAAUUUUAUAUUUAAGAUAAAAUUUAAUAAUAUAAUAAUGAUAGAAAAUUUUUAUAUGAGACUAGGAUUAGAUACCCUAUUAUUAAAAAUGUAAAAAAAUAUUAGAUUAGUAUUAGUUAUAAUCUUCAAAAUUAAAUAAUUUGGCGGUAUUUUAGUCUAUUCAGAGGAACCUGUUUUGUAAAUGAUAUUCCACGAUUUAAUUUACUUUAUUUAUUAAUUUAUAUAUCGUCGUAAUAAAAUAUUUUUAUAGAAUUUUAAUAUUUUAAAUUUUUCCUUAAAAAUUAUAUCAGAUCMAGGUGUAGUUUAUAUUAAAGUUAAAAUGGGUGACAAUAAAUAUAUUUAAAGAUAAAAAUUAUUAUAAUUUUUUGAAUGUGGAUUUGAAAGUUAUUUUGUUUAAUUAAUCAAAAUGAUUUUAGCUCUAAAAUAUGU
rnacentral:rRNA from 1 species